rnacentral:rRNA from 1 species
GACGAACGCUGGCGGCGUGCCUAAUACAUGCAAGUAGGACGCAGUUGCGAACGGGUGAGUAACGCGUAGGUAACUGCCUAGUAGAGGGGGAUAACUAUUGGAAACGAUCGCUAAUCCCGCAUACUAGUAGAUGGACCUGCGUUGUAUUAGCUAGUAGGUAGGGUAAUGGCCUACCUAGGCGACGAUCCAUAGCCGACCUGAUAGGGUGAGCGGCCACACUUGGACUGAGACACGGCCCAGACUCCUACGGUAGGCAGCAGUAGGGAAUUGUUGGCAAUGGGGUGAACCCUGACCGAGCAACGGCGCGUGAGUGAAGAAGGUUUGCGGAUCGUAAAGCUCUGUUGUUAAGGAAGCGGUACUUAACCAGAAAGGGACGGCUAACUACGGGCCAGCAGCCGCGGUAAUAC